rnacentral:ncRNA from 1 species
CCCUUCUCAACGGGGUGCUUGUUAAAGCUGAGAAUGCAUUUGGGCUGAUAAAUCCUGAACCAUACCCGUAGAACCUGAUCCGGUUAAUACCGGCGGAGGGAUUUGAGAACCCAUUCAUC